CGGAAGGCUGUGGGAGAGGAGGAAGACUUGAGCGAAUCCCAGAUGCACACACAGAUGUCACCACCCACAGUAUGUCUUUGAUGGAAGCAGGCAGAGAUCUACAAAAACAGCUGCAGCAACAUUUUAAAAUACAGAUAUUUGGUGAUUUGUCCCUUUAGACCCUUGUGGAUAAUUACUCUUUGUUGACCUUGACAUUCAUUUCAUACCAAGGGGUCAUAACCUAUUUGCUUUUUUUUCCCCCCAAUUGUGGUAAGAUUUAUAUAACAUAAAAUUUAUCAAUUGAA
rnacentral:lncRNA from 1 species